AACGAACGCUGGCGGCGUGCCUAACACAUGCAAGUCGAACGGACCCUUCGGGGUUAGUGGCGCACGGGUGCGUAACGCGUGGGAAUCUGCCCUUAGGUUCGGAAUAACAGUUAGAAAUGACUGCUAAUACCGGAUAAUGUCUUCGGACCAAAGAUUUAUUGCCUAAGGAUGAGCCCGCGUAGGAUUAGCUUGUUGGUGAGGUAAAGGCUCACCAAGGCGACGAUCCUUAGCUGGUCUGAGAGGAUGAUCAGCCACACUGGGACUGAGACACGGCCCAGACUCCUACGGGAGGCAGCAGUGGGGAAUAUUGGACAAUGGGCGAAAGCCUGAUCCAGCAAUGCCGCGUGAGUGAUGAAGGCCUUAGGGUUGUAAAGCUCUUUUGCCAGGGAUGAUAAUGACAGUACCUGGAGAAUAAGCUCCGGCUAACUCCGUGCCAGCCGCCGCUGUAAG
rnacentral:rRNA from 1 species